UACGUAGGUGGCGAGCGUUAUCCGGAUUUAUUGGGCGUAAAGCGUGCGCAGGCGGUUUGUUAAGUCUAAAAUCAAAGCCCGAAGCUUAACUUCGGUUCGUUUUAGAAACUGGCAGGCUUGAGUAUGGUAGAGGCAAACGGAAUUUCUAGUGUAGCGGUAAAAUGCGUAGAUAUUAGAAGGAACACCAGUGGCGAAGGCGGUUUGCUGGGCCAUUACUGACGCUCAUGCACGAAAGCGUGGGGAGCAAAUAG
rnacentral:rRNA from 1 species